UCCAUCGUCCUCGACUCCACUUUCUUCCCUCGCUUCCUUCUCUUCACUCUUUCUUGAUCGACAGAAAAACCAAUCAAAUUCAGCUCAUAAGUAUUCUUUUUCUUUAGGUGUCCUUCUUCAAUGGCUUCCUCCAAGCGACUCUCCUUCUCCAAAAGCAACUCCAAGAUCUUUGGAAGAAACCGGUUGAUGGAUUCUCAGCGGAGUUGCUUGAUGACAAUGUUCUUGAAUGGAUUGUUAUAAUUACGGGGCCCCAAAUACUCUCCAGGAUAUUUUUGUGAUGGGGGCACUUCGAUGCCAUCUUUAGCUUUCCAUCAGAUUACCCAGCAAACCCUCCAACUGUAAGGUUUAUCUCAAAGAUGUGGCAUCCUAAUGGCUGCAAGUGGUGGAACAAGGAUUUUGUCACUUGCACUCCUGGAUCAUGCAUGGUCCAGGGAUGGAGGAUGAAUGCUGAAGGGAUAGGGACAUGGUUGAAAGUAUAUUUCUGGGCAUCAUGUCAAUGCUCUCUAGCCCUGAUGAUGAAAUCCCGCCAAUGAGGAUGCUGCAAUGGAAUGGAGGAAUAGAAGGGAGGAGUUUGAGCAGAAAGUCAAGCAGUGUGUGGUAGCAUCGCUGCAAGAUCAUCAAGCAGCAGAUCAAAGUUAAUAACAUCUAUCCCUAUAAAAAUACCGUGUACUUUCUUCUUGCCGACUGGUGACCAUCAAAGUAUAUCGAACCAUGUUGAAUACCGUAUGUCACAAAAAUAACAUCAAAGUAUGUCACACCACAUUGAUGUGUCA
rnacentral:sRNA from 1 species